AUUGAACGCUGGCGGCAGGCCUAACACAUACAAGUCGAGCGAGCGGCGGACGGGUGAGUAAUGUAUGGGGACUGCCCGAUAGAGGGGGAUCACUACUGGAAAAGGUAGCUAAUACCGUAUACUAGCGGCUAACCCAUAUGGGUUUAGCUAGGUGGUGAGGUAAUGGCUCACCAAGGCGACGAUCCCUAGAUGGUCUGAGAGGAUGAUCAGGCAAACGUGGAAUGAGACACGGCCCAGACUCCUACGGAGGCAGCAGUGGGGAAUAGUGCACAAUGGGCGAAAGCCUGAUGCAGCCAUGCCGCGUGUAUGAAGAAGGCCCUAGGGUUGUAAAGUACUUUCAGUCGGGAGGCGUUACCAACAGAAGAAGCACCGGCUAACUCCGUGCCAGCAGCCGCGGUAAUAC
rnacentral:rRNA from 1 species